rnacentral:lncRNA from 1 species
GUCUCAGGAACGGCUAACCCGGCAACAUGACCACCGCAGAAUUCCGUCAGGACCAUGCAACGUUUGUCGCCGCCAACUCCGGCAGUGCCGUGACCGUGCCAUGCCGCGAGAGCGAUAAAUUCUCAGGCGGCUUGUUGGGCUCGGUGGCCGGAGAGCAUGGCAGAAUUCCGUUAGAGCUCGGUGGCCGGCGGACAGCCAGGUUUCAGGUCACCGACGUGCACGUGCACGGCAUAUAGCAGUAGCAGCAGCAGGCAGAUAUGGCACAUGUGCUCCAGUGCACGCGACAUGAAACAGAACCGUUUGGAACCAAGCAGCCAAACCGCUGCAGGGCCGCCUGUAUGGCUAUGGACUAUGGCACAUGUACACGUCUCCUGGCCCGCCUCAACUCGCAUCUCAUCAGCUCUCUAUGCUACGGUGGUCUCUACAGCAACUGCACUGACAUGCACUCAAUUCAAUCAUCUACACCUACACGCAGGCAGCAGGGGAGCAGAGACAGAGAGGUCUAGGCCAUCCUGAGCGCCUCCCUGAACCCGAUACUGAAGCUGUUCUGCAG